GACGUAGGGCGCAAGCGUUGUCCGGAUUUAUUGGGCGUAAAGAGCUCGUAGGCGGCUGGUCACGUCGACUGUGAAAACCCGCGGCUCAACCGUGUGGUCUGCAGUCGAUACGGGCUGGCGUGGAGUUCGGUAGGGGAGACUGGAAUUCCUGGAUGUAGCGGUGAAAUGCGCAGAUAUCAGGAGGAACACCGGUGGCGAAGGCGGGUCUCUGG
rnacentral:rRNA from 1 species